CUACGGGGCGCACCAGUGAGGAAUAUUGCACAAUGGGGGGAACCCUGAUGCAGCAACGCCGCGUGGAGGAUGACGCAUUUCGGUGUGUAAACUCCUUUUAUAUGUCAAGAAAAUGACGGUAGCAUAUGAAUAAGCACCGGCUAACUCCGUGCCAGCAGCCGCGGUAAUACGGAGGGUGCAAGCGUUACUCGGAAUCACUGGGCGUAAAGGACGCGUAGGCGGGUUGGAAAGUCAGGUGUGAAAUCCUACAGCUUAACUGUAGAACUGCACUUGAAACUUCUAAUCUAGAGUAUGGGAGGGGGAGAUGGAAUUAGUGGUGUAGGGGUAAAAUCCGUAGAUAUCACUAGGAAUACCUAAAGCGAAGGCGAUCUCCUGGAACAUUAGUGACGCUAAGGCGUGAAAGCGUGGAGAGCAAACAGGAUUAGAUACCCCUGUAGUC
rnacentral:rRNA from 1 species